GGAAUAUUGGGCAAUGGGCGAGAGCCUGACCCAGCCAUGCCGCGUGCCGGAUGAAGGCCUUCUGGGUUGUAAACGGCUUUUCUCAGGGAAGAAAAAGGGCAUGCGUGCUCAACUGACGGUACCUGAGGAAUAAGCACCGGCUAACUCCGUGCCAGCAGCCGCGGUAAUACGGAGGGUGCAAGCGUUGUCCGGAUUUAUUGGGUUUAAAGGGUGCGUAGGCGGCCCGUUAAGUCCGGGGUGAAAGCCCACAGCUCAACUGUGGAACUGCCCUGGAUACUGGCGGGCUUGAGUCCAGACGAGGUUGGCGGAAUGGAUGGUGUAGCGGUGAAAUGCAUAGAUACCAUCCAGAACCCCGAUUGCGAAGGCAGCUGACUAGGCUGGUACUGACGCUGAGGCACGAAAGCGUGGGGAGCGAACA
rnacentral:rRNA from 1 species